rnacentral:rRNA from 1 species
UUCCGGGUUGAUCCCUGCCGGAGGUCACUGCUAUUGGGAUUCGACUAAGCCAUGCGAGUCGUGAGGGUUCGGCCCUCGGCUGACGGCUCAGUAACACGCGGAUAAUCUGCCCUUGGGUGGAGGAUAAUCUCGGGAAACUGAGAAUAAUACUCCAUAAGUCUAGGAUGCUGGAAUGCACUUAGACUAAAAACUUCGGUGCCCAAGGAUGAGUCUGCGGACUAUCAGGUUGUAGUCAGGGUAACGACCUGACUAGCCUACGACGGAUACGGGUUGUGAGAGCAAUAACCCGGAGAUGAUAUCUGAGACACGAUAUCAGGCCCUACGGGGCGCAGCAGGCGCGAAAACUUCGCAAUGUGCGAAAGCACGACGAGGGAAUCCCAAGUGCUGGCUCGUUAGAGUCAGCUGUUUUUAUGUCUAAAAAGCAUAGAGAGUAAGAGCUGGGUAAGACGGGUGCCAGCCGCCGCGGUAAUACCUGCAGCUCAAGUGGUGGCCGCUAUUAUUGGGCCUAAAACGUCCGUAGCCUGUUUAUUAAAUGCCUAGGUAAAUUGUGCGGCUUAACCAUACGAAUUCUGGGUAGACUGAUAAACUUGAGACCGGGAGAAGCUAGAGGUACUCCUGGGGUAGAGGUGAAAUUCUGUAAUCCUAGGGGGACCACCAGUGGCGAAGGCGUCUAGCUAGAACGGGUUUGACGGUGAGGGACGAAGCCCUGGGGCGCAAACGGGAUUAGAUACCCCGGUAGUCCAGGGUGUAAACGCUGCUUGCUUGAUGUUGGUUGGGCUCCGAGCCCAAUCAGUGUCGGAGAGAAGUUGUUAAGCAAGCUGCCUGGGAAGUACGGCCGCAAGACUGAAACUUAAAGGAAUUGGCGGGGGAGCACCGCAACGGGAGGAGCGUGCGGUUUAAUUGGAUUCAACGCCGGG